GAUGAACGCUGGCGGCGUGCCUAAUACAUGCAAGUCGAGCGAACGGACGAGAAGCUUGCUUCUCUGAUGUUAGCGGCGGACGGGUGAGUAACACGUGGUAACCUACCUUUAAGGAUUGGGUAAACUCCGGAAACCGUUAGCUAUACCGGGUAAUUUUUUUAAACCGCUUGGUUCAAAAUUAAAAACGGUCUUGCUUUCCCCUAUAGAUUGAUCCGCGCUGCAUUAGCUAGUUGGUAAGGUAAAGGCUUACCAAGGCAACGAUGCAUAGCCGACCUGAGAGGGUGAUCGGCCACACUGGAACUGAGACACGGUCCAGACUCCUACGGGAGGCAGCAGUAGGGAAUCUUCCGCAAUGGGCGAAAGCCUGACGGAGCAACGCCGCGUGAGUGAUGAAGGUCUUCGGAUCGUAAAACUCUGUUAUUAGGGAAGAACAUAUGUGUAAGUAACUGUGCACAUCUUGACGGUACCUAAUCAGAAAGCCACGGCUAACUACGUG
rnacentral:rRNA from 1 species